UUCUAAACUUACUAUUUGCCUAAAAGUCUUUUCCCAGGCUCCACCAUCUCUCUUUGCAUUCACUGUGAGCUUCUCUAGAGCUUUUCUAAUGCACAGAGUGUGCUUCUCACGCCUCC